rnacentral:rRNA from 1 species
AGAGGUUGAUCCUGGCUCAAGACGAACGCUGGCGGCGUGCCUAAUACAUGCAAGUCGUACGCUUCUUUUUCCACCGGAGCUUGCUCCACCGGAAAAAGAGGAGUGGCGAACGGGUGAGUAACACGUGGGUAACCUGCCCAUCAGAAGGGGAUAACACUUGGAAACAGGUGCUAAUACCGUAUAACAAUCGAAACCGCAUGGUUUUGAUUUGAAAGGCGCUUUCGGGUGUCGCUGAUGGAUGGACCCGCGGUGCAUUAGCUAGUUGGUGAGGUAACGGCUCACCAAGGCCACGAUGCAUAGCCGACCUGAGAGGGUGAUCGGCCACAUUGGGACUGAGACACGGCCCAAACUCCUACGGGAGGCAGCAGUAGGGAAUCUUCGGCAAUGGACGAAAGUCUGACCGAGCAACGCCACGUGAGUGAAGAAGGUUUUCGGAUCGUAAAACUCUGUUGUUAGAGAAGAAUAAGGAUGAGAGUAACUGUUCAUCCCUUGACGGUAUCUAACCAGAAAGCCACGGCUAACUACGUGCCAGCAGCCGCGGUAAUACGUAGGUGGCAAGCGUUGUCCGGAUUUAUUGGGCGUAAAGCGAGCGCAGGCGGUUUCUUAAGUCUGAUGUGAAAGCCCCCGGCUCAACCGGGGAGGGUCAUUGGAAACUGGGAGACUUGAGUGCAGAAGAGGAGAGUGGAAUUCCAUGUGUAGCGGUGAAAUGCGUAGAUAUAUGGAGGAACACCAGUGGCGAAGGCGGCUCUCUGGUCUGUAACUGACGCUGAGGCUCGAAAGCGUGGGGAGCAAACAGGAUUAGAUACCCUGGUAGUCCACGCCGUAAACGA